AGGGAUGUGGCUCAGUUGGCAGAGUGCUUGCCUACCACGCACAAGGUCCUGGGUUCAAUCCCCAGCAACACAC
rfam:Ictidomys tridecemlineatus contig001309, whole genome shotgun sequence.